ensembl:lncRNA
GUUUGGAACCCAGUGGCUAAGUACAACAUUGCCAAAUGUCAUGCCGAAAACAGGAAAGCUUUCCUGGGCCCUGGAUGUAAAGGCCAGGGAGCAACGCAAGGAGAAGUCUGCAAGGAAAAUUACAGCAACACAGAAGCCUGUGCUGGCCUGGUGCAAUCCCUUCUGCAGUUCUUACAGGAAGCAAAAGAAAUAGCAGUCCAGCAGUGGGCCUGGCCUCCACGCCACACCUCCUUCCACGUCUGCAGUUGGAGCAGGAAGGGCAGUGGUGGGGCCGACUCCCUGACAGGGAUCAGAACAGUACAUUUCAAGAACAAAGCCUGUGCCGUUUACCUGCAGAUCAAAGUUGGCUCUUAAUAAGAUGUGUGUCGGAGGGGGCAGAGAGAGGACUGUUUCCCUUUAUUCCAUUAAAAAGGGAUUAUGAGGUGACUGACCAGCAUCAUGAAAAUAUGCUGCAAUAUCCUCAUCUUAAAAAGUGAAGAUAAUAAAGAAAAAAAAAACUUUUUAUGGAUCCAAGGCUGGUGUUCAGCUGGAACACACCAGAACUACCAUCCUGACUGUUAAAAUAUUGAAACACUUCUGGACCUGGUGAAUUCAUAUGUCUGGCACUUCUGUCAACAUUGUACUUACAGCUUCUGUGACAUGACUGAAACUCCUCAAGGGCAUCGAUUAGUCCCUGAAGAGCGAGACAAAGAAGGCUGAGGUAGAAGGCCCUGCAUACAUAAAGGAUCGUGAGAAGUUCAAACAGGACACAUGGAGAACCUGAAGGAUGGGGCUCUAACAGUCCCAGGUGGAUCUCUGGCUCCUCAGCGAUGGACAUUUAGCCAUUGCCGGUGAAGGUGUAGGAUAGUGACUGGGCCCUGGGGCAGCCAACCUGGUUCCACUGCACAGGUCUUUGGUGCGCUGGGGUUCCCAGGGACUGUGCUUGACUGUGUCCCCCGGUCGCCUGCCCCAAUGGCCAGGGAGUCCUUCUUGCUGUGUCAGCAAGGAGAUCUCUGACUCUCCCUUUAACACCAGGCUGCCUCAACACCAUGGCAUCAGAGCAUCCUGAAAGAUCCCAAGAGCUAUUCCAGUUCAUCCCUCUGCUUCUGAAAAGGAUUUUUCCUAAGAAAAGAUUUCUCCAACUCCUUCAGCCUCCCGUUCCAAUGUCAUAUCAUCCUUUCCGUGAAGAUACACUUACUCAAAUCUGAUAGAAACCCUUCAUGCUAAAAAGGCCUGAAUUCUCAGUUGUGUUUUCAUGUGUGGUGGAACAGUAGUCAGCUCUGAGGAUACUGCCUCAGACACCUGUGACUCAGCCACACUUAGUCCCCGGAGUCAGCAUUUGCCUCCUGGCUCUACUCCUUGUGAGCAUAGUGAUAUUAGGCUAAUUACUCAAACUUUCAGGUUCUCACCUGUAAAAUGGGCACAAUGAUAGGCCUUACGUGUGAAUUCAUUUUGAGGAUUAAAUAUAGAUAAAAGGCUUCAUACAGUGCCUAGCUCAUCAUAAAUGCUUACCAAAUUUUAGCUUAAAAAAUAAAGUGAAAAAAAUGCCUAAUUUCAUCUGCAUCUGAGGUUAAUUUGUACACAAUUUAGAGACUAACAAACCUCUGGUCAACAUUGCCAGGGAGAACCAAAAAAAGCAAAUGCCUAAUAGUAAUUUAAAAAAAGCAAAUAGUAAUUACACUUUUAGUUUUCUUAUUUUCUACCACUUUGCAGAAGAGUAGAACAUUCACUCUUAAGUGGCGGUUAUAUAUCAGUUAUAAAAGUGUUAAAUCCGUGAAGGCAAAGAAAAAAGAAGAAAGAGACAGGAACCGUCCUGCUGUUGCCAUGGUAACGAGGCAGGUUACCUGGACAAAGAUUUUGGAAAUCUCUUAAAAGAAUAGCCAGAGAUGUUUCUGUCUAUUUUGGGAAGGACAAAGUCUUCCUUUAUCCUCCGCUAAAGACACACAACCACUUGUUUGCUGAAUAUCUCCCAAUUAACUCAGGGCUUGAUCUGAGAGGAGGCAGGAUGUCAUGAGCAGGCAGGUGGCGGAAUGGAAAGGAUCUUGGCAGGGGGCUGCAAGGUAAAGGCAAAUAUCAGUGGAAAAUGCAAGAUCAAACUGCCCAGGAUGGCUAUUGUUUCAUUUAAAAUGUCCAAAGAGCGUUCAUUAAAACAUCAUUCUCACACAGGAAGACCCCCAACUCGUACAGAUUAAGUUUACAAGAAAUUGAAUCCUUAACCAAUAACACUUCCAUUUUUAUUAACAUUACUGACACGAAGUGAUUAAAAACUCUGGUGGGCAAGACUUUCUCUGAAAGUUAUUAUUUAUAUGUAAAGGAAUAAAGAGCUCACGAUGCAUUAAGGGUGUCCUCUC